UAUUAUACUUAAUGUACAGGUGCAAAAUUUUUAUCUACAAACAUGUUGUUGUAUAUGGUAUAGUGACACUGCUACUGGCCAGUUUUUUUUAUCAUAUACGGGGCAAACGACCAUCCGAUACACCCGAUGGUAAGUGAUCACCGCCGCUUAUGAACAUCUGCAAUAUCAGAGGCAAUAAAUUCAUUCUCGGUCCCCUAAAGGUGAGAAAUUACUCUUGUUUUGAAGGUACCCAUGUCGUAUCUGUUCCGAUAUGCUGCUGAUGGCGAUUGGUUCCAUAGCUUUCUAAAUAUAUUUAACAUAACCAAGGUAAAUGUUUUUUAUAUGUUCCAUACAAUUAAUUAUGUUUGUGGUAACCCAAACUCACUCCACCUUUAAAUUGAAUUCAAUCCGUGAAGAGGCUUCUAGGGGGGUUGAACCGCGAACAAACCUACUCGAGUAUAAAUUCCAAUCCCACACAACUCGAGAUUAUUGAAAUCAAUUUCUCGAUGAGGUAAUCAGGUCUAGGACUCUGUCACUAACAUGACCCAUUAUAAGGUAUUAAUAGCACUUAGCAACAGAACAAUGCACAAUAAUGAUUAAUAGGGAAAGACAUACGUCACAAGUGGUGCGCACGCGCAUCGCCGCGGGCUGAGCCGUUAUGAUGUGUCGUCGAAGUAUAAAAACAACGUAAAACUAUUACCACUUUCAGUCAGAACACAAUUUUUGUCUGUUACACUUUAUUGUUAUUGUGCAUUUGUGGAUUUAACAAGCGUGCUGUGUCGUGAAUUGUUGUAUGACGCUGGUAUGUGAAAUCAGGAACUCUAUUCAUCAGUAACUGCACCAUGUCGAAGGAGACUAGUAUUAAGAUGGAGGAAGACUCCGGCAGCCAUGAGAGUCAGUUCAACCUGGACGGCAUCCUGAGCGAGCUGGGCAGCUUCGGCAAGUACCAGCUGCUGCUGCUGUUCCUCUUGGCCUUCCGGGACUCCUUCCUCGCCAUGUGCAAUUUCAACUACGUGUUCACUGCUGCUGAAGUCGGUUA